CGAAGGGGGCUAGCGUUGUUCGGAAUUACUGGGCGUAAAGCGUGCGCAGGCGGCCAUCCAAGUCAGUGGUGAAAGCCCGGAGCUCAACUCCGGAAUUGCCAUUGAAACUGUUUGGCUCGAGUACGAGAGAGGUGAGUGGAAUUCCCAGUGUAGAGGUGAAAUUCGUAGAUAUUGGGAAGAACACCGGUGGCGAAGGCGGCUCACUGGCUCGUAACUGACGCUCAUGCACGACAGCGUGGGGAUCAAACAGGAUUAGAUACCCUGGUAGUCCACGCCGUAAACGAUGAACGCUAGCCGUUAGGCAGCUUGCUGCUUAGUGGCGCAGCUAACGCAUUAAGCGUUCCGCCUGGGGAGUACGGCCGCAAGGUUG
rnacentral:rRNA from 1 species